UACGUAGGGGGCAAGCGUUGUCCGGAUUUAUUGGGCGUAAAGAGCGUGUAGGCGGCCAGGUAGGUCUGCUGUGAAAACUCGAGGCUCAACCUCGAGAUGUCGGCGGAAACCAUCUGGCUAGAGUCCGGAAGAGGAGAAUGGAAUUCCCGGUGUAGCGGUGAAAUGCGCAGAUAUCGGGAAGAACACCCGUGGCGAAGGCGGUUCUCUGGGCCUGUUCUGACGCUGAGGUGCGAAAGCUGGGGGAGCAAACAGG
rnacentral:rRNA from 1 species